UGUUCAUCUCAAGUGGAAUCCACUCUGACGAUUGCUCAAUGUUGACAUGACGGGUUGUUGGCCUGCAAACAUCACAUCCUGUUGCCAUCUGCCCUCAUCACAACAUGUCACGGAAGAGUUACAUGACAUGGUAAUGGACUUUGACAUGGACGUCAUAAUGUUUCAAGGCUGAUGAGGGACUUUGAUCACAACAUUCAGCAAGCAUUAAAGUCAGUGGAAAAGCGGCCCGGUACUGAGAAUGCCUCUCAGUUUCCCCGGCUAAACACGAGAGAACACAGCUCUGGUGCGAGAAGCAGCACUAUUUCUGUCGAAAAAGAGGUCUCAAGAAGCAAUGUUAAAAACUAUCAAAACCAGCGGUCCAGAUGAAGAACAAAAACUAUUUACAUAUUGGUGUAAAAAUGAAUUUCAGGCUGAACUUCGUGUCACUAAAGACCCGAGGUAGAAAAGGGUUGAGAAUAUAUUCUGUAAAAUCAUUAGAGUCAUUAGAACGAUUUAAUCUGGACAUUCACUAAAGUUGUUCCUAUAUUUAA